rnacentral:rRNA from 1 species
UACGUAGGGACCAAGCGUUGUCCGGAAUUAUUGGGCGUAAAGAGCUUGUAGGCGGUCUGUCGCGUCUGCUGUGAAAAUCCGGGGCUCAACCCCGGACUUGCAGUGGGUACGGGCAGACUAGAGUGUGGUAGGGGAGACUGGAAUUCCUGGUGUAGCGGUGAAAUGCGCAGAUAUCAGGAGGAACACCGAUGGCGAAGGCAGGUCUCUGAGCCACUACUGACGCUGAGAAGCGAAAGCAUGGGGAGCGAACAGG